rnacentral:lncRNA from 1 species
GUGCGCAGCUGCGCUUUAGUGCGUGACGUGGACGGGAAAUUUCACCAGGCAGACGACAUAACCAGAUGGCGAUAUUAGGGAUAUAUUAUGAAAUUAUUGAAAAAUUCGUAAGUAUGGAAACACUUUCGAUAGUAUUUUAAUUGUAUUUAUUUUUUAUUAUCUUAUUUACUCGUCUGUUUUUGGUUCUAGUAGAGGAUUGGAAAAAGCCAUAUAAUUGAUGGAUGUUAAUUGCAUGAAAUUAUCUAUUCCUUGUAUUUGUACAUAAAAAAUUUACAUUUGUAGUUGUAAGAUAUUUAACAUACAUAUAUAUGAUAAAGCAUGGAAAGAAGAUUAAUUAUGAUAUUUCAACAUUUUCUUGAUGUAUUUAUGAAAACGUGGCGAACAUUUGUUCGUUUCCAUUUUAAAUUAGAGAUUGAAUUCGGUUUUCAUUUGCAUCUUUAAUUUGAUUCUAUGGAAUACUAGAAAUCAGUUUGAAUUUUUUUGAAGUUGAAAUUUAAAAUUGUCAUAUUUGUAAGUUUUCACAUCAGUUUUCACUACGUGAAUACAAACUUUAAAAUAUAGAGAAAGAACAUAUAUGAACUGAAAAUGCGAAGACAUAUAAUAUGGUUUAUAUGUCAAAGCAAAAUGUAUAUAUGUACAUAUAUCUACAUGUAUGUACAUAUACUAGACUAGUAUGUAUAUGCACUUCCAUUCACUUUUCGUGAUGGUUAAAAGCAUAAUUACUUAUUAUAUUAAUCCGUCACGAAUGUGAAAAAUUGCAUGUACCUCAUGUUUAUGGUUAUAAAUUAAUAGUACAUAGUCACCUUAAAAAGCCAGAAAUAACUUUGACAUAAAUAGGGACAACCGAAAUCAAGCAAAUUAUGACCACGGAAUAGCAUAUACAUUGUUUUGAAAAUAAAACAAACUGAUUAUACUAGUCUUGAUUGUUUUGGGAAUAUUUUAACGAGUUAAACAUUCCAAAAGUAAAGUUGAGAACACUCUGCUUAGAGCUGAACAUGUGUUACUCUUUGCGAACAUAAGGUGUUGUUUAGUUUGUUCCCGUUUUUAGUUUGCAAAAAUUAAAUCUGUUUGGAAGUUUAGGUAAGUUUUUCUCCAAAUCUCAUUCUGUUUCUAAAUCAUGUUCACGUGUAUCGCCCUCCCUUAAGAUAUUAUAAAUUCAAGGCGCCCAAAAAUCAGUAUUUUUAACGUAUAUGUAUCAAUGGUCUUGGCUUAUUCAAUCUCGCAUCAUUUUUUACUAAAUUAAUAUUCGCCCGCAUCCAUUUAUGCAUUUACUAUAACCCCCCUCCUUUUACAAUAUCAAAAUCAUAUCAUUUUAAAGGUACAGAUAUUGUAUUUACAUGACAGUCCUUUACAAGAAACAGAAAGUCCGUGCUACAACCCGUUCCAUUUCCGAAUUUAGUUCAAGACGACUGGUUCUCAAGAAUCCAGAAUUAAAUUUAUUGGUCAUUCGAGGAGAUCCCCUAUAAUGAAAUUUCAUUGUCAUUUUCAGAGAAAACUAUUGAUUAAACAAUGAAAUAUGAUAUAUUGAUUUACUAUAGAGAACUAUGAGGUAUUAAUACGUGUCAUAUAGGAUGUUAGCUUCUCAUUAAAUUUAACAGAAACGAUCUGGCGAUGGGGAUACUUCAUUUUAUGUUUUUCUAGCGAUUGGGAUACUUCGUUUAAUGGCGUUCAAGAGAUUAGGAUACCUCGUUUAAUGGCGUCUAAUAGGGCAUGUACUCAAACUUGAUUUUUUAUGACAGAGAGGCAGUCAUGCUGCAUAAUUUCAAUAUAGUAAUGUACAUAUAAUUUAACUGUACUAAGAUACUGUUUAUAGAAGUAUCGAGUGUGUUACGGGAAUAAAAGCAUGAGGGUAAUUCAGAGGCGGAUUUAGGGGGGACCAGGGGGCCCGGGCCCCCCCUUUUUGGGAAAAAAUUUGGUUGCUUAUAUAGGGAAUCACUGGGUCAGUCAGUGGGCCCCUACUUAUGAAAAUUUCUCGGGAUCCGCCAAUGGGUAUACUAUGGAUGGGAGUUCAUAAUCUUUUAGAUAAAACUUGUAUACUCCUUUUUCUCUUUCUUAUUGAUUUGCCUUUUAUUUCUAUUCUUGAUAUUUCAACACACGGUUAUUCUCUAUUUUCCAUUUCCCCCUCUUUCUCAUAUCUAGCAAGCGUGUUGACGCAUUCCAACUUCAGUGGCUGAGUGCAAACAAAAAUAGAAAAAGAAGAAAAUUACUUUGUGAAAAAUCAAAACUGACAAAAAUUUACCCCUAAAGUCAACUAAUUGGGACACAAUCUAAUGCGCAUGUAGUACGAGCAGAUAAUAUUUGUUGUUCGAAAGCUGCCACAUCCUGUUCCAUAUCGAGGCUUUGAUGUUCCAUACCGAGGCUUAACAUUUUGGUUCUCCCCCUUAAUUAGAAAAAGUUACUAGUUUUGGCUUCAACUUUCUACAUCAUGUGUAAUUAUUAAACUGAUAGCUACUGUUUAUAAUUUAGAAUUAAAAAACACAAAAAACAAAAUAGAUUGAAUGAUUAUAUACUUGACAAGGACUCUCUUUUUGAUAUACUAGUAUUUUAAGGUAAAACAAAUCUGAUUAUUUUCAUUAUUCAUGUGAAUACUUGGGGAGACUGAAAUGGAAAAUAACGUUCAGCACAACUUAACAAAUCUAACUUCAUUUUAAUAAAAUGUUCAGGAAACCAUUCGUAGUACUUAGGGAGCUACAUUUGAUUGUUAAGCCUCGUAUGGAAAUCAAAUGGCAGCUCCCUUAGAGUGCCAUGCACAAAACAAAUAUGUAUCCGAAAGGGUGGAAGGAAUAUUUUCAAUGGCGUGAACUUUCUGUCGUUAACAUGUGUUUAAACCGUGCUACCAGCUCCCAAACAAUAACUUGAAGAUGGGCGUUUCUAAAUACAAAAUAAAAAGGUUAAACAAGGAAACUCUAAACAAAUAUUGUUUGGCCUCAGAUGAAUAUCACUGAACUUGUACACAUGACACUUAAAAACUACGGAUGUAAAAGGCCAGAUUUAAGUAGCAAAUUUAAUAGACUUCCGCUGUAGAUAUAUAUAUACUCUUGGGUAAUUUGUAAAAUGUUAUGUUCACGCUUUUUUCCUGUACAUUUAAGGUCGUUUUUAAUACUUUGCGUGCCACAAACAAAACUAUGUUUUAAGAUAUAAGAUAAAAUAUAUCAUAAGAUAGAGAUUUUAAUAUAAAAUAAUCAGAUUUAUGUUGACAAUACAUCGAUCCGGGAAAUAUAAUCAAAUAGCUCGGUAAUGAAACAGAAAUGUAGAGUAGUCAUUUAAAAGAAAAUUGCUUAAAAAAAUAUCCUUAUAAUGCAAGUCCAAAUGUCGGUUCCAAAUUAUCUAGCUCUGUGAGAGAAUCUCGUAGAGAAUGUUGUAAUACCGCCACUCCAUCCAUUGUAACGUGUUCUCUAACCUUGAACGUCCUUGAUUCGUAAAAAAAUAAACCUGAUCACCUUCUGAGAAGAGACUUAGAUCUUGAAUAGACUGGAAAAUAAUCUUUUCAUUUGGAAUAAAAUCUCAGCAGCUGUGUCGUAGUUUUUAUCACCGUAAAUGAAAGAAAUGAGGUUGUUAGGUAUACGUUAAAAGAUUAUAUACACGUCACAGACCUAUCAACCAAACCACACGAACAAACACACACACACACACACGCACACUUAGACAUCUUAUUUGCUUGCAAUAGUGAGUGACAAGUCUUUUACUGAAAGAAAUUUAACAAAAGUAUAUCAAAUAUACCAGUAUUUCAAUUUAGUUAAUAUUAAAGACUUCAACAAUUUGAAGACAAGAAUCUCAUUGGCUGAGUGAAAUGAUACAAGAACAGAUAAAAGAACAAAAUGUUGACAGAUCCUUCUAGGAAAAGCUUAUGUAUUUGUAAUAAGAUUGGAUGAGUUGUGUUGCUUAUAAAUACAUGACAAUAUUGGCAGAUAUUCUGCUCGAUGUCUCUGAAAAGCUAAACGUCAGGGGAACAGACCAUACCGAGUCACGGACCCUGUCUAAGUUCAGGGGAAUAAAUAAUAAAAUCCGUCAUGCGUUUGUAAUAGUCAAAAGCUUAUCAAAGGUAUUAGUUUUAUCAAUGAUUAGAAGCAUUCAUCUGAAACAGAAGUUAAAUAAUCAAGGUAAAUUAGAAGCUUGAAAUAUUUUAAUGAGAAUGGCCGACAAACAAACGUUCCAGAGAUUUUGAUGACUAUCUCCCUAAAUACGAACAAAAUAAACUGAUUCCGCUGUUAUAUUUUAAGCUCGAAGAUAUCUGUUGUCAGAAUUGUUUUAAAUUUCAGUAUACUUCUUGAAACACUUGACUUUGGUAUAUUAAUAGCAAACGAAUUCUCAUUUGGCCGUCCAUAGUUAUAUAUUAUGUGUAGUUAUAUCAGGUUUCAUGGUUGUUAAAUUUAAUUAUAGUCGUAUUUCCUUUAUAAAACAAUAGUUAAUAUUAAGAACUGGGUACUUGAGGCUAUUUUAACCUCUCACCAUUUUUGUAUGAUACUUAUUUUUUGUUUUGUUUUGUAACAUUGCAUUUUUAUAAAAUUGAGAAUGAAAAUGGGGAUUGUGUCAAAGAGACAACAACCCGACCAAAGAGAAUACAACAGCCGAAGGCCACCAAUUGGUCUUCAAUGCAGCGAAAAACUCCCACAAUCCGAGGAGUGCUUCAGCUAUCCCCUUAUAGUCUUUUUGUUGUCUUUAGAAAAAUAUUAGAAGACAAUUUUAUUUUCUAAUCACGACUUUACUGAGAGAAUUACCAUUCAACAUGACAGCAGACAAGCGACAGAUGCCUCAGAAGUCAAAAACAAACCUACGAAAAACGACCAAACAAAAGAAUAAACCAUAACAUGGAAUUACAACAUGCUCAAAGACAUGCAUACGCAAGCAUUCAAUGUUCCACCAAUAGAAACAAACAUGUAUGUUUAACCCUUUUGUAGAAAGGGUGAAUGAGUUCUUUCUUUUCAACUAAACGAAAAUAUGCUUAUUUGAACCAUUGUCCGAUAAUGAGAUGCAAGCUAUAGAUCAGCUAACAUUUAACAAUAAUGAUGAGAUCCUUUUGAAACAAAAAUAACACAGGUUGAACAAUUAUGAUGUGUUAGUGUUCUUUUGAAUCUUUUCUGACGUGUAAACCAGAAUCUGGAUAAGGGAAAUCCUCAUUUCUAUAUUUUUUCUCAAAUUCUAUGCUAUUUUUCUCUUGAUUUUACUUUUUGUCUAUCAUUCACUAUUCUUUACAUUUUAGCACCUCAUCAUUCUCUAUUCUAUUCUUGUUUUUUUUUACUAUUAUUCUCUAUAAUGCCUUUAACCUCCAUCCACACCCUCAGGGAUGAAAACAAUCAGUCUAUAAAAACAUACUCUAACGUACACAAUAUAUGACCUAUAAAUUAAAUUUUGUUUGACAAAAUGAUACUUCAAAGUUCUUGAGUUAAACAUCCGAGGUUAUCUGCCGUUUACAAAAAUCAAUACCAUAUAUGGUAUUUCACAUAUGAUGCAUUUUAAAGCCUGUAAUUUGAUCGAGAUGAGAGUUGAUUUGCUACGCGAUAAAAAGAAAUAUCCACAAUCAAUACGAAAACACGUGCUUAAGUGCAUAACGCCAUGAUUAUAUCCAGACAACACCGGAAACGGUUGAAUUAGGAAGCGGAAAUGUAAUCUCUAAACCGCUUCAAUGUAAACGAAAAAGAGACACAUAAUCACAAAUUUUCCUGUUAAGUAAAUGUUUGAAGUUAAGCAUGACAAACACAUUUACAAAUUUCAGAUUGAGCUGAAAUAGUUCUACAAGAAUUUAUACCAUAGACUAGGUAACCUAUUGAAAAAUUAUAAAAUGCGAAGCCAAAAGUUGGUAAUUUGAAACAAAAAAGGAAUUAUCUUCACUUCUGACAGUAGCAUUGGUCCGUUUAUAAUCUUUAUCUUUGAUUUAAGAUGUAAAAUUGAGCUUUUUACACUUCUUAGUUUCAUGCAAUUACAACCAACUAAUCUAGAACUGAUAACUAUUUUAGUUUUAAUCACAAACUGAUCUUUUGUGCUCUGAAGCGAGAUUUAAUAUGCGGUGCUCCCACAGCUAAGGAGGAAAUGAUUAUAUUUAAAAACCUGGUACGUCUGCUAACCGAUGAGAUAGCAUCGAUCAGUUGUCAUAGGAUGGUAAAUUAACGUAAUCCCCGACUGUAUUUAUUUCUGUUCUUACAUAUCUAUUACUUGCAUGAUCGAUAAGGCAACGAAUAAAAGGGCGUGAACUAUGUCCUAAAUGAGAAGUUAUUUCAACAAGACCGAUGGGUAGUAAAAUAUGAGGGUCAGCGUGGGGUGUACAUAUUAUUGCUAAAUGAACAGUAACAUCAACCAAAAUAUAAAGAAAUAUAGAAGAAUAAUGAAAAAUAGAUAAUUAUGGACAAAAAGAUAAAUAAUGGAGACAAAUAAUUUAAGAAAUUAAUAAUACAGAACGAUCGCCCCCCAUCUAGACCCUCAUUUUCAUCGCUCGAUUCUUUACUAGUAGUGUAGGGAGCUUUUUUUGUCACUUCAUGCCAUGCUACUCAUACAAGCUGCAAAUAUUUUUAUGUAAAGAGGUUAGGUGAAGCUUCAUAUUCCACAACAACUUUGAUAUACCUCUUGUUAUGGGGUUGUUUGUUUGACAUUUUGAAAAAUUAAAAGUACAAGUUCAUCAAAUUUCAGAGUAAUAUGUUAAAAUUGGCUUUAUUGUGUGGUCAAAGAUAUGUAUACUAUGCUGUAGCGCUUCCUGGAUUGUUUAAGUAAAGAUAUUCGGUCCCAAGUCAGGAGCCUUUCGUACAGUAGUAUUUUGUUGACGUUAAUCAUAUGGUUUUUUAUCCUUUAUUGUUGGUAAAUAAAUCAUUUCGUUAGUUUUUUUGUUUGAAGUGUUACAUUUGUCAUUUUGGGGUCUUUAAUAGCUUUCUAUUUGCGGUUUGGUUUUGCUCAUUGUUGAAGGUCGUGAGAUGACCUAUACGGAAAAAGAGAUACUCAAUAAGGCCAUCAAGAAAAUUAAGAUAUUCAUUCAAAGUCAACAGAAAAUAUAUCUUUUUUAUGUAAAGUUUUGUAUAGAUUUAACAGAUCAAUUAUCAGCCUAAUAAUGAAAUGCACACGCACAUGACAUGUAUAUGUCAGUCUUGACGAUGAAUGGACAUUCCGUCUGGUUAAUUUUCGACAGUCAGAUGGGUCAUUUUAGAAGGGACUGAGUAGUGCAAUUCAAAAUGAAUGAACAACAAACCUUCAAAAGUUGCCUAUCAGUAGCUCGUACAAAACACAAGAAGUUAAUAUUGUGUUCCGCGUAAGAUACUAGAAACUGGACCACUAAUUGAGGCUCCCACAGGGUACCCCCUUCAGGUUGCAAGGUCGCUUUUAAAUUCGUCGAGAGGUCGUUUUUAAGGGAAAUGUACAGGUCGCAGGUCGUUUUUCCCAAUACAGAGGACGGAAGUCGGUCGGAGGUCGUUUUUUCCAAAUUUUACAGGUCGCAGGUCGUUUUUAGAAGGCCCUCAGGUCGGAAGUCGCCUCUAAAAAGCCAGAGGUCAGAAGUCGUUUUUGACCCUGCGGGAGCCUCCUAAUUGGCCGUUUCAGAAUCUAAAGGACUAUGGGUAAUUUCAUUGUUCGUACCCCAAAAUGAAAUUAACGUCACGACAUUGGUUGAAUUUCCAUUGUUUUUUUGACUUUUUCAACCAAUCACGACUUUUUGGUGUACACUUUUGAAAAUAUUACCCAGAAUGCAUCAAACGGUAAAUUGCAUAUAUCUAGGACCUCAAAUAACAUCUAUGGUAAAACCAUGUGCUUCUAACUCUGGAAAAAUUUGUCUACACAUUCAAUUUUAUUUAAAUUGCUGUUUAGUAAUUAAUUGGUCGAGGGAUUUUGAUUGAUUAUAAUAUAAUUUAAUUUUGGAUGUAACACGUCUUCUGAUUGGCUGACGUUAUUUUGUUAUGAGCCCAUAAACAUAAUUUAGUCAUGUGACCGUGACGUCAUCAACGUUUUUUCAUGGUUUUCUACGGUUUAAAAUGGAAUUUAGGAUUAAAUUAUAGAAAUAACUGUAAUAUUUUUUCUGUCUAUUCUGCUGCCAACUGAAUCUAUGCCAAGAGUGUCAUGAGGCUUUUUUGUGCGCACGCACAAUCAUCAUUAUUUUCCAUAUCAUGGAAUGUAUGUCAUUGUUCUAAAUUUCAUUUCUCUCUAUUGGGACAUAUUUCCAACGACGACACGAAACAAUUUUGCUUUAAGUACUAUUAGAUGUUCAAUUACAUUUCCAAGUUCCAAAGCUUAAUGCAAGUUUUGGCUUUCAUUUUAUCCCCUUUAUGAUAUAAAUCAUCGCUAGAAAUAUUUUAAUUAACCAAUACUUUCCCUAGUUAUACUAGCAUGGGAUUUUAUAAUCAUAGUUAAUAUGGUAUCUAAUUUUUGUCGAUAAUUACACAUUGGUAACAUGUGGUAUCGAAUACAACUUCUAUUACAGGCAGUAAAUAUUAAGCAUCCGUUCGAUACAUUUACACUCUUAGUCUUUUCGGUUUUAGGUUUGAAUUAAACAAUAUUUCCCCUAAUUAAACUGCGAUGGGACUAUAAUAUUUGUUAAUAUUCAUUUUCAUAGUUUUCAAUUAUUUUACAAAUGUACCAUAUUUUUUUACAGCCAUUAUAGUAAUUGAGCUUGAAUUGUUUAUUUUAUAUUUAAUUGUUUUAAUAAACUAAUAUAUUCCUCAUUUAUACUGCGUUGGGACCAUUAAUAUUUGUGUCAAUAUUAAUUGUUUUUGUUUCAUGUUCAACUAUACAAAUUGUAACAUGUGGUAUCAAACUAACUUUUAUUUACAGUCAGUUAAAACAGAUAUUCGAUUCAAAACAUUUACACACAGUUGGAUUUUAUGUUUUAUUUAAACCACAGUUCAAGUUAUGCUGUUAAAAAUUAAGUAACACGUUUCUGACAAAAUUAACUCCCCUGCGAAUAGUGUAAUAUUUCGCUUAUUUGUUGUGUUAAACGCCACUUCCGGGAUACACAUGUAGUCAUAGAACAAUUUCGUACGUACUUAGACUCAAAAAUCAACCAAUCAAAUUAAUGAAUUUCUGUCUUUCAAGUCCCGAGUACUGAGUUCAGACUUUACGCCUGAAAGGGCAAAGGCAUAUAAGUAUUCUUGGCUAUAGUAGUGGAAAACCUUACAUUCCCUGUAAACCCUGAAAACAUUAUUUUCAAUGUUUGUCUUGUUUUACCAAAAAUGCGUUAGGGUAAAUGUAAUAAUAAAAACUUUGAUAAAAACAAAUGUCAAUGUUCAUAUAAUGUUAUCCCUUCUGAAAUAGCAAGCGACGAGUACGGCUAACGGAAGAAUUAUACAGUCAACCAACUAUGCAGACCUUCGAAAUAAGAAUGUGCUAUCAAUUUAAGCUAGGCUGAUUUGAAUUUGAAAUUUGUUUAAGUAGUUUAGAAACUGCUAUUUUUAGAAUACAUUUUGAAAACAUUUUGAAGUUUUUUCAUUAGGUUGCAGUCUCAUUGACGUAUAUAGUCACUUUAAAAUGAGGCUAGUUACGGCCAUGAUAUUUCAAAUUUCCUAUUUAAGACAUAUCUACGAUAUUCUGUAAAAUCUUACUUUGAUAUUAUUUUAUAAUUGCAAUAUGAGUCUAACUACAGUCCUGCAUGUAGAGUAGACACCUUUUUAUUUUUGCGUAUUGCAGAAACCUAUAGAUGCAUGCAUGAUAUGUGACAAUGUGUGUUGAUGUCUGUGUGACGUUUUUCCAAAGUCUCGUUUCAUACACACUUUCAGAGAGUGAGAUAUCAACUUUACUUGUAAAAAUGUCUAUAUUUGUCUUGGAAAACGCUUGUCAGCAAAAACACGGAAUUUCUAACAGUGCACUCUUCUGAAUUGUUGCCUUAGGCAGCAACCAUUUGAUUUUCUGGGGGGGGGCUAUGGUUUUUUUUUCUGUGCAAACUUUUUUUUUCGCCUUCGGCGAAGAACAAUCUAUUUUUUUACGACAAAAGACAAUUUUUUUCUUUUAAUUUUAGCAUUACAUAUAGUGGCAGCUGAGGUGAACAAACAAUUUUUUUUACUCAGUCCAAACAAAUUAUUUUUUUCACCAAAAACCUGAAACAACUUUUUUUCCAAAAAAAACAUAGCCCCCCCCCCAGAAAAUCAAAUGGUUGCUGCCUUAUUACAUGUUUAAAUAGACAUAGAACUCAUUAAUCUUUUAUUGUAGGAUUUAAUGACGCUAGCAGAAGGGUAACAUGCAAUCCUCGUGGACUAUAAAGUUCAGUAAUAAUCUAGCAAGUCAAUAUUUCUUGUUAAAAUUAGUGAAACAAUCAAUAUUUGCAUAUCUCGCUUUUGGUCCAUAACAUCGCGGUUUUCUGAGCGUUUUAUCACAUCGAUAUCAAUAUUAGAUGCUGUAAAAUCCAAUUUGAUAACGAACACGUGUAAAACACUCUAAUGUAUUUUAACAAAUUACUUGAAUUCAUCCGAGCUGUUUCGGAAUGGGUUAAUAGCUUUGUUUUUACAAAUGUAGUUUUAUCCCUAUAUAAAUCGAUAGUCUGUCAUUAAGGAGGGCCCUCAUGGGGUUUUUGAUUAUGUGAUUACUUGGCCGUUUUUUUAAUGAUUAUUUGAUUAUUAAGCAAUAUUUCAUGAUUAUUGAUUACCUAGACUGUAUUUUUAGUUUAUGAUUAUUUGAUUACUAAAAGAUAAGCAAAUAUUUAAUGAUUAUGUGAUUAUAUUGGCAAAAAAAUGGUGAUUAUGUGAUUACUAGGACCCCCCCAUGAGGGGCCUCAUUAAGGAGGGUUUGGAUGGGGGUUCAGAGAAUAGAAAAUAAUGGUAAAAAAAAUAAUAGAGAAAAAUGGAUAAAAAAAAUUAAGAAUACAAAACAAUUAGGUGCUAACCUACAAUAUAAGAAAAAAGAAUAAUGGGCAAAAAGAAUGAAAUAAAUAAAUGAAAGAAUACCUAAAUUACAGACCCCCCAUCCAGCCCCUCAUUUAUCAGAAAAUAAUUCAGUGCUAGAUGUUGUCUCCCAUUUCAAAGAAAACUCUUGUUUAAAUUGAAAUCAACGGAAUAAUUUGUAUGUGUUGAAAUACGAUAUUAGUGACGAUUGCAUUGCAAUCUACUAUAAAGAGAUAUCCUUAAUGACCAUUUGAACAAACACGGAACAAUCUCGGAAGUGUCUUUUCAUUAAAUGCUCAGUGUGUUGCUUAUUUCAUUUACUAUUCCUGGUGUAAAUGACCGAAGUUUGUUGGAGGAGAUUUCUUUGUUGUUGCAGGAAAUGGCUUUGUGGCACGUGAUUUACAAUAAAAACAUGGCGUCGGGUCCGGCAGUUCGGAACUUUUCUAAAUUUUAACAUGAGGCCAAGAUUCUAAAGAUAGUUGAGAAUUACACAUUUACCUAGCAAACCGUACUUAAAAUGAGACAUUUUUCUCAUAAGAAGCCCUAUAAAAGACUCAGUCAUAAUGCGUAUUUGGUCAAUUAGCCUUUCAUUGUAAUUUGUUUUGGAGUUAUGUUUUGUAAUCUGAAACAGACUUAAAACAAAGACAUGACACAUCUUUUGGCUAGCAGAUGAUGACAAAUGAACAAAUACCAAGCAAUGCUGAAACUAAGCAAACAUAAAAAAAUUAUAUAAACACUUUAACGGAAGGAACUAAUCUUAAGAGUGUCCAUGAAACGAGUUUCUUGGUAGCAUUUCCAGUGGCGGAUCCAGCCAUUUUAAAAAGGGGGGGGGUCCAACUAUAUGCUCCCAUUCAAAUGCAUUGAUCAGCCAAAAAAGGGGGGGUUCCAACCCCUGGAAACCCCCCCCCCCUGAUCCGUCACUGAUUUCUCAUUAGUUUAAAAAAGGGAGAUGUAGUAUAGGAUUGCCAUUUACAACACUUUCCACCAAAUAUCAAAUAACGUAGAUGUAAGCAAAUUGAUCAAUCGGCAAUCCUCGGGUGAUCGGCCGAGUAUUGACGAUUGCAAAUGGGUGUCUCCUAACGACCUUUCGCCAAUGAGCUAAAACAUCAUACCGAACAGUAAAUCCAAAAGGCGACAAACUGAAGACAGUUCAGACGAGAUUUCAGACGAGAAUACCAAUGACCUGAUUUAUGAACCACAGAAUAAACUAAUUCAAGCCCUUUCCGUGUCCGAUUUUCUCCACACGAGGAGCCUUCGUAGAUCAGCGGAAUAUAACGACUGAAUUAUUCGGGUUAAGAAUAAACGAAAAACAAUAUGGCAGACAGCAACAAAGAACGACCAACAAAUUAAUUAAAAGGUCCUGACAUUUGUGACGGGCAUAUACAGAAUGUGAGGGGAUUGAACAAGCUUCCAAAUACAACUUCAUACAGCCCGCCCAAAACCGAAGUUUGCAAAGCAUAGGGUAUACAAUGUUUUUGAGCUAAAUUAACAAAAUGGUCUUCUUACGGCCAAACAAUGUCAAAGGGGGCUGCAUUCUGAUUAAACUGCGAAUUAUGUGUUCACUCUUGGGUUCCAAGGCUCUGAGAAAAACUUUUAAAUCUACUUUUUGUUCUAGUAAUUUUUAUAACUGCCAAUUUAAGCCAUCAUUUUUUUUAAAUGUGCGUAUCAUUUCGAUAAAACCAGAGGACUCGGAAAACAAAAAAGGCGAAAGUACGGAAAUGAACAUCUAUCAAUAUACGAUUAUGACCAACGCAAUAGAAUAAGUUCAAAUUAUAAACAAUGCUAGUAAUUAAUUAUGAAUUCCUUUUAUUUACAUAUUAAGUGCAAUAUGAUUAAGAGUUGACAUCAAAGGAAACACUAUUAUAUUUCAUUAUCAUAUUAGGGUUAAGAAAUAAACGACGUCAUUUAUUGGUUUACAUAGAUUUUGUUUUCUUUCAGUGAUUUGAUUAACACCAGUAUGUUAUUAACACUGAACAAAAGAGGAAGACAUAGAUAGUCUGGAUUUGCCAUUUGAAUAUACAGGCGAGCAUCCGAGACAGCUAUAGGACAGCUCGAUGAAUGAGAGAAAAAUACCGGUAUGUUGGAAUUGUUUUGUCUUCCUUUUA